AUAUAUACGGUUGUUCCUCACUUGGAUGAUCUUCGGUGUAUGAUUAUAAAUGUCUAUUUCUCAAAAGCGCGCAAAUCCUGCAGUGUUUAAACGUAUUUAAGACCUGAAUUUACGUUUGCGUGACGUCGAGCAGUCUCCGAUCGUUAUCGACUGUUAUUCGGUCGCUUCCUGUCGGGACCGCGGAGACAAAUGAUCCCGAAUCCUAUUCGAUUGAGUUCGUUUACGUGCGUAUCGUAAUGAUAUUACGAGAUACGAUCCCGGCAAUAACAGUUAUAUAUAGUGCU